UACGGGGGGAGCAAGCGUUGUUCGGAUUUACUGGGCGUAAAGGGCGCGUAGGCGGUAGCACAAGUCAGUUGUGAAAUCUCCGGGCUUAACUCGGAAAGGUCAACUGAUACUGUGCGACUAGAGUGCAGAAGGGGCAACUGGAAUUCUUGGUGUAGCGGUGAAAUGCGUAGAUAUCAGGUGGAACACCAGUGGCGAAGGCGGCUUUCUGGACGGUAACUGACGCUGAGACGCGAAAGCGUGGGGAGCAAACAGG
rnacentral:rRNA from 1 species